GGGAACGUGGUUUAGUGGUAUAGCCCAUGAUAUGUUUUUGCCCAAGAGGCAACUGGGGUUCGAUUCCCCACGUCCCCA